CGGGGUGUAGCUCAAUUGUAUAGAGCAACGGUCUUCUAAACCGUAGGUUGUGGGUUAGAAUCCCACCACCCCGACCA
rnacentral:tRNA from 1 species